rnacentral:rRNA from 1 species
UACGUAGGGACCAAGCGUUGUUCGGAUUUACUGGGCGUAAAGGGCGCGUAGGCGGCAGUUCAAGUCAGCUGUGAAAUCUCCGAGCUUAACUCGGAACGGUCAGCUGAUACUGUUUUGCUAGAGUGCAGAAGGGGCAAUCGGAAUUCUUGGUGUAGCGGUGAAAUGCGUAGAUAUCAAGAGGAACACCUGAGGUGAAGACGGGUUGCUGGGCUGACACUGACGCUGAGGCGCGAAAGCUAGGGUAGCAAACGGG